CCGGAGGCUCUGGCAGCACGUUCUGGCUCACUCUGCUCUGAGACAGAGGGAGUGUAUAAAAUGACUCCUCCAGGCAGCUCAGUGUGAGAAGAAGGCAAGCAUGCUAGGAAUAUUUUCCAAAUAGUUUUGCAAGGAUGGGGAAACAGCAAGAUGUUGGAUAAUGUUAUGUGCUUGGGAGAAUUUUGGUUUCCAAGCACCUUAAAUGUACCAGAGUGAACCAUGGCUAACAAAUACAGAGCACAAGAUUUGGAGCUGCAGAGAGUAGAGGAGAAAGGCAAACCUGUGAAUGUCUGUCUGCAAGGAGCAGAGCCAGAUCCAGUCAAGGUAAAUGGUGGACUGAUUUCAACAGCUUACUGCGGUUUUGCCUCGAGCUGAGCGGUCCAACCAAACUACAACUUUAAGGCCUACCGCAACUUCCAAGUUUCUUUCAGAUUUUAUAGCAUCAAAGAGUCCAGUUCCAACAUAGCAUACACAUAGGUUAAGAGUCUUUGAGCUUCUGGUUUCGUUACAGUACAACCAGUCAUUUGGUGGCACACAUGCUUGAAGACUUAUAUGGCUUUUAGCCUUGGGUGAAAUAAUGAUCUACACAACUGAUUAAAUCCCAGAUUGUCCUAUCCAAAAAGAUUAUUGUUGCUGCCUGUCAACUUUUUUAGCAUAUUGUCUCUCCAGUGAAUCUCUCAUCCUUUUUGAACACCAUAAUCUAUCUGCCAUGUGCGUUUAGAUUGCAUUUUGCCUUUAUCCUUAUACCAUCAGUCUAUGGUAUGUUACUAGCUGACACCUGUGACCAGGCACUUCUUUUCAGUGGGACUCGGUGUGUAAAAGGGCAGGAUGAAGCAGUGAAAUAUAGAUGCCACACAGCCAGCAGUAAGAGAAAGACAGAAAGAAAUGCUGGCUGAUACUGAGCACAACAACCAGUACCAUAAAACACUUAAUAACCGAAGUGUUAAAAGACCAACUGAGGGAUAACAACAUUGCCUGAAAUAAACUGAUAAUAAAUGUAAUGUUAAGUGGGUUUAUUGGUUUAGGAAUGUACCGUUUCACAAUAUAAG